rnacentral:rRNA from 1 species
UACGGAAGGGGCAAGCGUUGUUCGGAAUCACUGGGCUUAAAGCGGGUGUAGGCGGCCCUUCAAGUACCUUGUGAAAUACCUCGGCUCAACCGGGGAAUGGCUGGGUAUACUGUCGGGCUUGAGGCUGAUAGGGGUGCCUGGAACUCUAGGUGGAGCGGUGAAAUGCGUUGAUAUCUAGGGGAACGCCUGUGGCGAAAGCGGGGCACUGGGUCAGUCCUGACGCUAAGACCCGAAAGCGUAGGGAGCAAACGGG